GACGAACCGUGCGAACGUUGUUCGGAAUCACUGGGCUUAAAGGGCGCGUAGGCGGGUUCUCAAGUCUGGAGUGAAAGCCCACGGCUUAACCGUGGAAGCGCUUCGGAUACUGGGGACCUCGAGGGAGGUAGGGGCGUGCGGAACUUCCGGUGGAGCGGUGAAAUGCGUAGAUAUCGGAAGGAACACCGGUGGCGAAAGCGGCGCGCUGGACCUCUUCUGACGCUGAGGCGCGAAAGCCAGGGGAGCAAACGGG
rnacentral:rRNA from 1 species